UACGGAAGAUGCGAGCGUUAUCCGGAUUUAUUGGGUUUAAAGGGAGCGUAGGCGGGCUGUUAAGUCAGCGGUCAAAUGUCAGGGCCCAACCUUGGCAUGCCGUUGAUACUGGUGGCCUUGAGUUCACACAAGGAAGGUGGAAUUCGUCGUGUAGCGGUGAAAUGCUUAGAUAUGACGAAGAACUCCGAUUGCGAAGGCAGCCUUCUGGGGUGUUACUGACGCUGAGGCUCGAAAGUGCGGGAAUCAAACAGG
rnacentral:rRNA from 1 species